rnacentral:rRNA from 1 species
UACAGAGGGGGCGAGCGUUGUUCGGAAUUACUGGGCGUAAAGGGCGCGUAGGCGGCCAACUAAGUCAGACGUGAAAUCCCUCGGCUCAACCGGGGAACUGCGUCUGAUACUGGAUGGCUUGAAUUCGGGAGAGGGAUGCGGAAUUCCAGGUGUAGCGGUGAAAUGCGUAGAGAUGUGGAGGAACACCGAUGGCGAAGGCAGCCCCCUGGGUUAACACUGACGCUCAGGCACGAAAGCGUGGGGAGCAAACAGG